rfam:Streptomyces sp. CB01249 scaffold10, whole genome shotgun sequence.
CUUCAGCGAGCCCAGCCACAACGGCCGGUCCGCCGAGUGCUCCUGACCGUACGUCGCGAUCAGCGCCUGCGCCUC